UACGAAGGGGGCUAGCGUUGUUCGGAAUCACUGGGCGUAAAGCGCACGUAGGCGGAUUGUUAAGUCGGGGGGUGAAAUCCUGAGGCUCAACCUCAGAACUGCCUUCGAUACUGGCGAUCUUGAGUCCGGAAGAGGUUGGUGGAACAGCUAGUGUAGAGGUGAAAUUCGUAGAUAUUCGCAAGAACACCAGUGGCGAAGGCGGCUCACUGGCCCGGUACUGACGCUGAGGUGCGAAAGCGUGGGGAGCGAACAGG
rnacentral:rRNA from 1 species